CAGUCUUCGGCAGCAUGGUUGAAUAAGGUGAGCAUAAAAUGGAGUUUAACGUAAUUAAAUAGACCAAUGUUUUUUAACAUAGGAAAAUAGUUCAUUAUAAACAACAGUUAAAUGUUUUUUGUUAUUAAUUGCAACCAGAUUUGAUUUUAUGAGGUUAAAUAAAGCAUUUCAGUUCUGGGCCAAGGCCAAGGCAUUUAAUUUUUUUUUUUUUUAAAGUUGCAUGGAAGAUUAUAAGUAGCAGUGAUUGUAACACACUAGGUGUGGUGAAAUUAGUCUCUGCAUUUGACCCAUCACCCAUGAUCACUAUGCAAGUAAACAUUUUCUUAAUUUUAAACUAGACAGACUAGAGUUCUUCAAAUUGUUUAUACUUUUUCUCAAAUACAAAUAUUUCAAUCUGAUAAGCACUGUGGAGUUGGCAUGUUACUGAUAUUGUUACAUUAGUUCUUUGUUUGAGAAGCUUCAUGUCUGCAUUGAGCCUAAAUUUAACAGUUUUUGAAGGGUUUAGUUCUUUGUUUUAUUUCUGUCACUGACUUUUUUCAUUUUUAUGUGUGGAUUUGUUAGGCGCAUCAACACAUGAAAUAGACAUCGUGCCCAAAAGAAGAGCGAGACGUAAUCCUGAGGCUGAAGCCACCGAGUUUAUGUGAUCUGGAUGUGACAAGUCUUGUUUUGAGGCCCAGUGGAUCAAUGAUUGGAAAGACACCAACUGUUGAUGUUCUAUCUCAACAUUCUCCAGAUUCAUGUGAGCGAUAAACCGACUUCAUCCCUCCAACAGACACCAACUGUUGGGGUUCUAUCUCAACAUUCUCCAGAUUCAGAUGUGAGCGAUAAACCGACUUCAUCCCUCCAACAGAAACCAACUGUUGAGGUUCCAUCUCAACAUUCUCCAGAUUCAGAUGUGAGCCAUUAACUGACUUCAUCCCUCCAACAGAAACCAACUGUUGAGGUUCUAUCUCAACAUUCUCUAGAUUUAGAUGACAGCCAUACACCGACUUCAUCCCUCCAACAGAUUGACAGCAGGACAAAUCGCUGGUAGUGGGUAUGUCUCAAGCUUCUUCCACUUGGUCCACUCCAAAGCGGGCUGCAAAGGGGAAGAAGUGGAAGCAGUUGAAUGACACAUGUUGCAUUUUGUAACUGGCAACAAAGUACCAGGUAAAAAAGAUUGUGAAGCCUGCCUCCAUAAAGAACUAGUAGCUCUACAGGACAGAGAUUGGCUUGCCAUCAAGUACUACAUCCAUAACAGAAUUAUAUUAAAAAAAGGGAAAAAAAAUGUUUUCCCACAUCUUCUGUGGUAGUUUGAGUAUGUUACCAGCAAUUAAAAAAGCAAAAUAAACAGCAA